GCAUGUGGUUUAAUUCGAAGCAACGCGAAGAACCUUACCAGGUCUUGACAUCCUCUGACAACCCUAGAGAUAGGGCUUUCCCCUUCGGGGGACAGAGUGACAGGUGGUGCAUGGUUGUCGUCAGCUCGUGUCGUGAGAUGUUGGGUUAAGUCCCGCAACGAGCGCAACCCUUGAUCUUAGUUGCCAGCAUUCAGUUGGGCACUCUAAGAUGACUGCCGGUGACAAACCGGAGGAAGGUGGGGAUGACGUCAAAUCAUCAUGCCCCUUAUGACCUGGGCUACACACGUGCUACAAUGGACGGUACAAAGGGCAGCAAGACCGCGAGGUUUAGCCAAUCCCAUAAAACCGUUCUCAGUUCGGAUUGUAGGCUGCAACUCGCCUACAUGAAGCUGGAAUCGCUAGUAAUCGCGGAUCAGCAUGCCGCGGUGAAUACGUUCCCGGGCCUUGUACACACCGCCCGUCACACCACGAGAGUUUGUAACACCCGAAGUCGGUGAGGUAACCUUUUGGAGCCAGCCGCCUAAGGUGGGACAGAUGAUUGGGGUGAA
rnacentral:rRNA from 1 species